GAUGAACGCUGGCGGCGUGCCUAAUACAUGCAAGUCGAGCGAACAGACGAUGAGCUUGCUCCUCUGACGUUAGCGGCGGACGGGUGAGUAACACGUGGAUAACCUACCUAUAAGACUGGGAUAACUUCGGGAAACCGGAGCUAAUACCGGAUAAUAUAUUGAACCGCAUGGUUCAAUAGUGAAAGACGGUUUUGCUGUCACUUAUAGAUGGAUCCGCGCCGCAUUAGCUAGUUGGUAAGGUAACGGCUUACCAAGGCAACGAUGCUUAGCCGACCUGAGAGGGUGAUCGGCCACACUGGAACUGAGACACGGUCCAGACUCCUACGGGAGGCAGCAGUAGGGAAUCUUCCGCAAUGGGCGAAAGCCUGACGGAGGAACGCCGCGUGAGUGAUGAAGGUCUUCGGAUCGUAAAACUCUGUUAUUAGGGAAGAACAAAUGUGUAAGUAACUAUGCACGUCUUGACGGUACCUAAUCAGAAAGCCACGGCUAACUACGUG
rnacentral:rRNA from 1 species